ensembl:lncRNA
UAGAGUGUAGAGGUGGCAGGUAGCCUAGUGGUUAGAGUGUAGAGGCGGCAGGUAGACUAGUGGUUAGAGUGUAGAGGAGGCAGGUAGUCUAGUGGUUAGAGUGUAGAGGUGGCAGGUAGCCUAGUGGUUAGAGUGUAGAGGCGGCAGGUAGUCUAGUGGUUAGAGUGUAGAGGCGGCAGGUAGUCUAGUGGUUAGAGUGUAGAGGCGGCAGGUAGACUAGUGGUUAGAGUGUAGAGGUGGCAGGUAGCCUAGUGGUUAGAGUGUAGAGGUGGCAGGUAGUCUAGUGGUUAGAGUGUAGAGGCGGCAGGUAGCCUAGUGGUUAGAGUGUAGAGGAGGCAGGUAGUCUAGUGGUUAGAGUGUAGAGGUGGCAGGUAGCCUAGUGGUUAGAGUGUAGAGGCGGCAGGUAGACUAGUGGUUAGAGUGUAGAGGAGGCAGGUAGUCUAGUGGUUAGAGUGUAGAGGUGGCAGGUAGCCUAGUGGUUAGAGUGUAGAGGCGGCAGGUAGACUAGUGGUUAGAGUGUAGAGGUGGCAGGUAGCCUAGUGGUUAGAGUGUAGAGGCGGCAGGUAGUCUAGUGGUUAGAGUGUAGAGGUGGCAGGUAGCCUAGUGGUUAGAGUGUAGAGGCGGCAGGUAGACUAGUGGUUAGAGUGUAGAGGUGGCAGGUAGCCUAGUGGUUAGAGUGUAGAGGCGGCAGGUAGGCUAGUGGUUAGAGUGUAGAGGUGGCAGGUAGACUAGUGGUUAGAGUGUAGAGGCGGCAGGUAGCCUAGUGGUUAGAGCGUAGAGGUGGCAGGUAGCCUAGUGGUUUGAGCAUUGGGCCAGUAACCAAAAAGUUGCUGGAUUGAAUCUCCGAGUUGACAUGGUAAAAAUGUGUCGUUCUGCCCCUGAACAAGGCAGUUAACCCACUGUUCCCAGGUAGCCUGUCAUUGUUAAUAAGAAUUUGUCCUUAACUGACUUGCCUAGUUAAAUAGAUAUAAUAACAUAUGAAGUUUCACAGAAUUAUAUCAUGUGUAAUAGUUUAACCAUAUUUUGUAUCCAUGUGACCUAUUUGGCUAUACUGCACAUACAGAAUUGCCUGUGUUAGCCAAGCAGCACUGUGUUAGCCAAUCAGCAAUGUGUUAACCAAGUUGCACUGUGUUAGCCAAUCACCAUUAUGUUAGCCAAGCAGCACUGUGUUAGCCAAUCAGCACUGUGUUAGCCAAUCAGCAAUGUGUUAACCAAGCAG